rnacentral:rRNA from 1 species
GACGAACGCUGGCGGCGUGCUUAACACAUGCAAGUCGAACGGAAAGGCGAUGAUUGCAGGGUACUCGAGUGGGGAACGGGUGAGUAACUCGCGGGUGAAUUGCCUUGCACUUAGGGAUAAGCAAGGGAAACUGGGUGUAAUAAAGGAUAGGUGAUAUUUUUAGCGUGAUGGUUGGAAAGUUUUGUCGGUGUAGGCUGAGAUUGAGGCAUAUCUGCUUGUUGGAGGGGUAAUGGCGUACCAAGGCGGCGACGUGUGGCCGGCCUGCGUGGGUGGCCGGCCACCUUGGGACUGAGAGGCGGCCCAGGCUCCGACGGGUGGCAGCAGUGGGGAAGAUUGCACAAGGGGCGCAAGCCGGGUGCAGCGACGCCGCGUAGGGGAUGACGGCCUUCGGGUUGAAGACUCCUUGCGCUAGGGACGAAGCUUUUUGUGACGGUACCUAGAUAAGAAGCACCGGCUAACUACGUG